GACGAACGCUGGCGGCGUGCUUAACACAUGCAAGUCGAGCGAGGCCCCUCCUUCGGGAGGGUGUCCUAGCGGCGAACGGGUGAGUAACACGUGGGCAACCUGCCCUCAGCUCUGGGAUAACUCCGGGAAACCGGGGCUAAUACCGGAUACGACCUCCACGGGCAUCUGCGGAGGUGGAAAGUUUUUCGGCUGAGGAUGGGCCCGCGGCCUAUCAGCUAGUUGGUGGGGUAGUGGCCCACCAAGGCGACGGCGGGUAGCCGGCCUGAGAGGGCGACCGGCCACACUGGGACUGAGACACGGCCCAGACUCCUACGGGAGGCAGCAGUGGGGAAUAUUGCGCAAUGGGCGAAAGCCUGACGCAGCGACGCCGCGUGAGGGACGAAGGCCUUCGGGUUGUAAACCUCUUUCAGCAGGGACGAAGCGAAAGUGACGGUACCUGCAGAAGAAGCACCGGCCAACUACGUG
rnacentral:rRNA from 1 species